GUUUUAACUAAAAUCGACAAACUUACUGUCGAUUUUAUCAACAAAAAAUUAUGCCCGCGUUUAUUACCCGCGUCCUUCGUUUUGAUCAAUUUCCCAAAUAUUAACCCCAAACCUCCAGAGAAUUAAAGUUCAGAGUGAAGCCGCUUCUUCUUUUUCUCCAACGCCUGAGAGUAGAUACCAGAGGCGGAGUCAUCGUCACGGAGAGAGGUAGAGAGCAAAUCAGUAGAGCUUCUUCUUCUCCGAUGACUGAGAAAACCCGCUGUCCUCUAUCAGAGAGCAGAUUUUCUUCUUCUUCUUCUUCUCCUCCUCCGUCGAGCCCGCCGCCGCGCCAUCCUCUUCAUUUAGCGUAAUCAAUUCAUCACAUUUCAUCAAUCGCUUCGUCUCUCUGUGCCGUUGUUGCUGCUGCCUUCAAUUGACUGUGCUCAAUCAAAAUCAGUCUUCAAUUCAAAGAAUGAUGAAGGAAGAAAAGCAUUCUCAAGUGACUGUACACAUGGAAGCAGUGUUAACAAGGCACCUUCAGUAAGCUGUUUUGACUAAGAGUUUGUAUCUCCUUUGAAAGCUCCUAUGAGGAACAGAAUGUUGAAAGAUUUCAACUCGGCAAUGGGACCAUGCAACUUAUCGCCUCUUAAGACCAGUAUUUUCAAAUUUAAUAGAUUUUGAAGCCAAUUGGGAAAUGUAUCCUCAAAUUGAUUGUUUCCAAGAUUCAAAUCCACAAGCUGUGUGCAAUUGGACAAAGAUUUCGGCAAUAAACCUUCAAACUGGUUGCCAUUGAGAUUCACUUAUUGAUGGUAUUUUCUCAUUUACUAUUAUUGGCAACUAAGAAGUUUGGGGUUAAUGAAUUUGUGAACCCAAAAGAUCAUAACAAACCUAUACAAGAGGAGCAAUCAUCCAAGGCAAUCAAGGAAAGGAAAAGUCUAAUCAAGGCCUUCAUCAAACAAGCCACUAAAUUUAUCUCUUUUUAAGAAGAAAGAAGCUAUUGUUAAGCCUGCACAAGCCCCUCACCCACAACUUGCCUCACAAUCACAAAUAGCUCAAGGACCAACUGAUCAUCUCUCUGCAGAAACCAGGACAACAACAAACACUGGACCAGCCUAAAGAAUGUUAAAAUUUUUAGGCCUAGGCCAUGGCAUUAGAAGAUUGAUCUCCUUAGGUUGAAUGGAUCUUGACUUAAUUUUUUUGGGUUUAAAAAUUUUGAUUUGGACAUGUUAUUUUGGCAGAUAUUAUGUUAUUUUGGGGAUGAUAUUUCUUUUUGGCAGAUAUGAUGUUAUUUUAGGGGUGAUAUUUUCUUUUGGAUUUAACACAAUAGUAUUGUGCUUUAUGUUUUUAGGGUGAAUUUGGUCAUAUUUUGGAUUCAGGUGAUGCAAUUUCAUUAGUCUACUGAUGUACUUAACUCACUUUGGGUAAUGUUUAUUAUCUAUGUUAAUUAUGUUU